AUUUGUCAACCUACAUUUCAUGUGUUCAUUUAUUUGUCGUUAUCUUAAAAUAGUUUUAUACCAUAUUAUUUCUUCGAUUUGCAUUUUGUUUUGGGUAUCUAGUAGUAGUCAUGAUACAUUAUGCCAUGCAUGUUAUCGUUGCAUUAUUUAUUUGUUCAUUUUUUUAUAUUGCCAUGUUAAUUAUAUUCCAUGCUCUUAGUUUUAAGUUCUUGUUAGUUGAUUAAAUAAAUUGUAUUAUCUUCAUUUUUCCAUUGUCGUAUUUUUAUGCGUACACAUAUUACCCCAUUCAUCGUUUUUUUACUUGACUUUUGAAAUGUGGUUUUAUAAAACCCAAAUUUUAUGAUUAAUUUCGUCUUAUUUCAAAUUGAAUUAAUGCGUUUUAAGCUAGUUUCACAACUAUUAAGAAUUCUUCAAAACGAAGGCGAUAUUCGAUACUUGGUAAUUCGUGGAUUCGUGCUCUAACGUGUUGGGUUGCAAUUUCUCGUUUGCUCAAAGUAAUCGAAGGUCCUUUUACAAUUUCACCCGUGUCUUCUAAAAAUCCUUUAAAACGGAGGCAAUACUCGGUGUUUGACAAUUCGAGAAUCGAGCCCUAUCGUGCUGGGUUGCGCUUUUUCAUUUGUCCAAAAUAAUCGAAUAUCUCUUCGAAAUUUACACGUAUUUUCUAAAGUGAGGCAAUGUUUGAUGUUCGAAAAUUCGAGGAAUCGUGCCCUACUGUGCUGGGUUUCGGUUUUUCGUUGGACUAAAUAGUUGAGCAUCUUAUUAUGAGUUUCAAAUAAAAUUUUUCAGAUGUCAAAACAAGGAGAUUUUUGGCAGCCAACCCGGGCUAUUCAAAUGUUAUUAACAAGAACCACAUUUCAAAAACAUUUUUAAUUUUAGACAUAAGGACAGUAUUUAAUCGAUUUGGUACCAAUUUUGGGCGUAAUGAGGGUGCUAAUCCUUCCUCAUACGUAACCGAUUCCCGAGCCCGUUUUCUCAUAUUUUCGUAGACCAGAAUCGUUGUUUUAGUAAACCAAAAAUGUUUUAUUAAAAUAACCAAAUUCUUAGGUGAUCCGAUCACACCAAAACAAAAGGAUCGGUGGUGACUCUAUACUUCUAUUUUUCAAAAGUCGAUUCCCCAUUUCUUUUAAUUAAAAAUCUAAAAUUUUAAAAUAAAAAGGGUGGUUUCGACAUGUACUUUUAUAUUUUAUUAUCAUUAUUAUUAUAUUAUU
rnacentral:lncRNA from 1 species